GGGAUCGAACCCACACCUCAUGAUUCCUAGUCGGAUUGUUAACCACUGAGCCAUGACAGGAACUCCUACUUUAUGUUAUUAAUCUGAAUUUUUCUUAAUAAAAAAAUUGUCUAUCAUUUCCUUAGUACUAGUUGAGGUAGUCAUACAUCUCUUAUGGUUAGCCGUUGAUAUAUGCUCGCUUAUAUCUGAUUUUACAUUGUCUUUUUUCUUCUUUUUUUGCUUUUUAGGGCUGCACCCAUGGCACAUGGAAUUCCUGGGCUAGGGGUCCAGUAGGGGGUGGUAGUGCAUAAGGAGUGAGAGAAAUGAGCGAAUGGGACCAAAAGGUACAAACUUCCAGCAAUCAGUCAGUCAUGGGAUGUAACAUACAACAUGGAGAUUAUAGUUAAACCCUAUUGUAUAUUUGAAAGUUGCUAACAGAGUAAGUCUGAAAAGUCCUCACCACAAGCAAAAAAAUUGUAACUCUAUAUAGUGACAAACGUUAACUAGACCUAUUUUGUGGUCAUUUUGCAAUAUAUACAAAUAUCAAAUCGGGGGUUCACCUGAACUAACAUAUUAUGUCUGUUAUGCCACAAUUUAAAAAAUAUAUUGCAGGAAGGUUAAAAAAAAAGUAAUAGAAACCACUGCAAGAAUCAAAGAGAUUGAAUUUGAUAAUCUCACAGCUGUGAGAGUGCAUCUGUCAUUCACAGGUUCAAACUCACAACCAACCAUAAACAGGGUUCGGCUGUUGAAAGGGCUGCAAUCUUGCAAAGUAACAUAAACUGAACUUGUAUCUGAUGGAAAGAACAACAACAAAGAGGUAAACUUCCUGCUUGCCUGAAAGUGAGAACCGUACUUGAAAGUCUCUCCAACAAAGCUACAGCUGAUUUUAUGUAAAGUUGGGGAAGCCUGGGCUCAGGGACUGGCGGACGUUGAGAAGAGGAAGGAUGGAAGGACGUAUGAAUUUUCAGCUGUGUUAGUCUAGCCCUGGAGCAACGGUGCCUUUGAUUGGCUGGCUUUCUAGCACAGUCCCGGGAGUGAGGCGCUUGCUGAUUGGCUGUCGUCUGAGUGCGAGGCCUGUCACUGAUUGGCUGACAUUCAGAGGCUUGGGGCUGGCAUGGAUUUGCUCACAGCCAGAAGCAUAGUUACUGGAGUGAGAAUAUUGCUGAUUGGCUGAUUUUCAGAACAAAAAUCAUUCUAAGCAGAAAGCCAACGUGAUCUGCCCAUGCUGCCGCCAAGUUGCUAUUUGGUAAAUGAAUGAAUCAGUUGCAUUCGUGUAGCAAGAAGGUCAACCAAGGAGUCAGGAGUCUCAGGCGUCCUGCAUUACUCUGUGGCUUCCUACUCAGAGGAGUUCCCAUCGUGGUGCAGCAGAAAUGAAUCCAACUAGGAACCAUGAAGAUGCGGGUUCAAUCCCUGGC